AACCUGGUUUCUCAAGUUAAAGCACGGAACUCCCAGGACUUAAUCCUGAAUUUUGUUGUUGUGCUUUAACCCCUCAGGCCCCCCAGCCUGGACAUCAAACACGUGAUGGGAUUAUCUGACUUGAGGAAAAAACUGCCAGAAGCUGCAUUUGGGAAAAAAAAUUACACCGGGAACGAAGUCUGCUUUCAGGGGGUUUACUCCAGUCUCUACGAGGUGGAAAUAUCCAAGAAGGAUCAAUCCCGAAUGGAUCAGCUGGUGGAAAAUCUGGUGGAGAAGGACUUGGUGAGUGUUUUUCUGGGAGAAAAAUCCCAUUUUUGGUGUCGUUACCCACAGCCCAUGCAGCGUGGAG
rnacentral:lncRNA from 1 species